UCAAAGGCUCUUUUCAGAGCCACCCAUACAGUCGUUAAAAGGGUCU
rfam:Rattus norvegicus chromosome 10, whole genome shotgun sequence.